AGUGAACGCUGGCGGUAGGCCUAACACAUGCAAGUCGAACGGCAGCACAGUAAGAGCUUGCUCUUACGGGUGGCGAGUGGCGGACGGGUGAGGAAUACAUCGGAAUCUACUUUUUCGUGGGGGAUAACGUAGGGGAACUUACGCUAAUACCGCAUACGACCUACGGGUGAAAGCAGGGGAUCUUCGGACCUUGCGCGAUUGAAUGAGCCGAUGUCGGAUUAGCUAGUUGGUGGGGUAAAGGCCCACCAAGGCGACGAUCCGUAGCUGGUCUGAGAGGAUGAUCAGCCACACUGGAACUGAGACACGGUCCAGACUCCUACGGGAGGCAGCAGUGGGGAAUAUUGGACAAUGGGCGCAAGCCUGAUCCAGCCAUACCGCGUGGGUGAAGAAGGCCUUCGGGUUGUAAAGCCCUUUUGUUGGGAAAGAAAAGCAGCAGGUUAAUACCCCGCUGUUCUGACGGUACCCAAAGAAUAAGCACCGGCUAACUUCGUG
rnacentral:rRNA from 1 species